rnacentral:rRNA from 1 species
UGAUUUUGUUUGUCAUUGGGUUGAGCGUGGUCGUUUCUGGUGCCAUGGCAAUUAGCGCUGUUGGGUUGGUACUCGGUAUCAUUUUUGUGGCCUUGGUGGGUCUCAGUAUCAUGAUUCCAUGCUUAUUGCUGGUGAUUCGCUUUAUGACUUUCCGAACAGUGAAUGUUCGUUUUCAACAUCAUGGUGAACGGGUGGUAUUGCCGGUGACGGUCAAGUUGACGGGACGGACGAUUUACCACGCGAUUUAUGAAAAUUUCCGUGCGGGUCGACGGCGCGGGCGGCAUCUUUUAUCAGCCUGGGGGUUUGGGUUUGAGACUUACUUCCACGAAGACUUGCAGGCGUAUCUUGCUGAUCAGAUUCUUGCUCAGCACGGCCCUGAAAUGGCGGAGUCCUUUGUGGUUGAUGAGCGGCAUUCCUACUCAAUUGCGUAUUAACAAAAUGAAUUUAAAAUACCAUCCGCAAGAGUGCUGUGCCAGCGCUCUUUUUUCUUGGCUACUUUUUGAAAUUGACGCGUUUAUUCAUCACGCCGCGGCCGCCAUUGAAUCACCCGAUUUGAUUCAGGCCAGCGCAUCUCUUCAAAGCCGACAUAUUCAAUCGUGAGUUGCGUGUGCUGACGAAGCAGGCCAAUGAAGGUUUCUAAGUCUGCCAGAUCAUAGUUGAUCAGGCUGUGUAAGGGAAUGGAACGUUGGCGCUGAUCCUUAGGCUGAACGUUCAUGAAAAAAUUGUAUGCCGGCGUAUAGGUUUGAUUGACCAGUGAUAGCCAGUAACGUGUUUGACGGCGUCGUUUGAAAAGGGGGGUUAAUCGCGCCAUCAUUAGCUUCAAAUCUUUAGUCAUAGCUAUUGCCGCCAUUAUGUCCUCCUACUAGUGAUGCCCGUUGAAUCGCCGUUCCGCCAUGCAUCGCACUUUUAGCGUAGAUCAAGCCCUUAAAGCCAAAACGAUCGCGAAUAGUAUCUAGCGUGCGUUCUAAAUUGGUUGCUUUAAUUUGUUGAUCAACCGGCUCAAAGAAAUUGAGUUGUUCGCCGGUAUCUGGGGCUAAGCGGCCGGUAUAAACGGCAACGUUACGAAUGACCUCACCAUGCCAGUUUUGCCGAAAAAUCAGUUGCAGUGUGGCAACAAGAUCGCCGUCCCGAUUCGUCGGUAAAAUUCGCUUAGUUUGGUGAAACCCGCCGCGUCCGUCUUUUUCACUUUCAGCAUAGGAAAAGCCGAUACCUAGGGAAAUUUCACCAGCUCGUUUGUGAUGAUGCCGCAACCGUGCGGCAACCUGUUCGCCGAUUUCUUUAAUAACGAUUUCGAUUUCAACUUGAUUGCUAUAAUCGCGCGGCAGAACCUGUGAGUUGCCAAUGCUUGGUUCGCGGGUGAUGACGCGUUCGCUGAUUUUUGUGCGGUCAAUGCCCCAUGCUAGCGCAAAUAACUGCGUGCCAAUGAUGCCCAGUUCUUGCUUUAAGGCAUACGGAUUUGCGUGAGCAAGUUGUUUCAUUGUCGUAAUGCCCAUACGUGCGAGAUGCGCUGCUGUUCGUUGACCGAUACUCCAAACGUCUGUCAUAUUGGUGAUCUGCCAAAUGGUAUCUGGUACAGUUUGAUAGGAGAUUUGACCAAUUAAAUUAGGAUCAUGUUUUGCAUAAACAUCCAGCACAAUUUUGGCUUGAAGCGGAUUGUCACCGAUCCCGACUGUUGUGUAGAGACCAAGUCGAUGCCGAAUAGUAUGUUGAAUUAAUUGCGCAACUGCACGUGGUGUUUUGCCAAAGAGUCGCCAUGUGUGCGUUAAAUCGAGAAUGGAUUCAUCAAUGGAAUAAGGCCACAAGUCUUCAUUGGCAACAAACUCACGAAAAAUAUCAUUGAUGGCCAGAUUCUUUUUGAUGUAAAGAUUCAUGCGUGGCGGCACCACGAUCAGAUGCUUAUCCACAGGUAAGUCCCGUUGACGGCUAACGUUACUUUUAAGGCCAUAUAUUUUUUUGGCCAUUGGCGAAGUUGCCAAGAUGAGGCCGCCAUUUGUAUUCUCUUGUUCGGACAUGACCACGAGAAGGGUUCUUAAAGGAUUCAGCCCGCGUUCAAUGCUUUCAACUGAAGCGUAAAAGGAUUUAUUGUCAAUCAGGAAAACCGUUCGAUGCGGUUCGUGGGAAUAAUCGUAGGCCAUCAAAAUCACCUCUGCAAUUAUUAUACGAACAUACGUUUGUAUAAGCAAGCAUAACGUGAUUUCAGCCCAGAAAAAAACCGCUGCGUCAAAAAACGCAACGGUUUGAUUGAAUCGACGUUAAGCAAUUGUUUCGGUUAGCGCAUGCAACCGCCGAUAUGGCUGCCCCAUGAAGAGACGUUGGACAUCAUAUUGCUGUGGAAGAAGCCCAUUCCCAUGCCACUGAAGGCCUCUAGGACAAAGAAGGCUGCAAAAAUUGCCGCGAUUACGAUCAAGGUGACCAUCAAUGGCCGCCAUUUUUCAGAAUGUAACAUAGCAACGACCUCCUAACAACUAAAAACACAUGACAGCAUGUAGUAUAACACCGUUAGAUGAAGGAAUUG